rnacentral:rRNA from 1 species
CGCGGCCUAUCAGCUUGUUGGUGGGGUAAUGGCCUACCAAGGCGACGACGGGUAGCCGGCCUGAGAGGGUGACCGGCCACACUGGGACUGAGACACGGCCCAGACUUCUACGGGAGGCAGCAGUGGGGAAUAUUGCACAAUGGGCGAAAGCCUGAUGCAGCGACGCCGCGUGAGGGAUGACGGCCUUCGGGUUGUAAACCUCUUUCGCCAGGGACGAAGCGCAAGUGACGGUACCUGGAUAAGAAGCACCGGCUAACUACGUGCCAGCAGCCGCGGUAAUACGUAGGGUGCGAGCGUUGUCCGGAUUUAUUGGGCGUAAAGAGCUCGUAGGCGGUUUGUCGCGUCGGCCGUGAAAUCUCCACGCUUAACGUGGAGCGUGCGGUCGAUACGGGCAGACUUGAGUUCGGUAGGGGAGACUGGAAUUCCUGGUGUAGCGGUGAAAUGCGCAGAUAUCAGGAGGAACACCGGUGGCGAAGGCGGGUCUCUGGGCCGAUACUGACGCUGAGGAGCGAAAGCGUGGGGAGCGAACAGGAUUAGAUACCCUGGUAGUCCACGCUGUAAACGUUGGGCGCUAGGUGUGGGCGACAUCCACGUUGUCCGUGCCGUAGCUAACGCGUUAAGCGCCCCGCCUGGGGAGUACGGC